rnacentral:rRNA from 1 species
UGGGGAAUUUUGGACAAUGGGCGAAAGCCUGAUCCAGCAAUGCCGCGUGUGUGAAGAAGGCCUUCGGGUUGUAAAGCACUUUUGUCCGGAAAGAAAUCCUUGGCUCUAAUACAGUCGGGGGAUGACGGUACCGGAAGAAUAAGCACCGGCUAACUACGUGCCAGCAGCCGCGGUAAUACGUAGGGUGCAAGCGUUAAUCGGAAUUACUGGGCGUAAAGCGUGCGCAGGCGGUUUGCUAAGACCGAUGUGAAAUCCCCGGGCUCAACCUGGGAACUGCAUUGGUGACUGGCAGGCUAGAGUAUGGCAGAGGGGGGUAGAAUUCCACGUGUAGCAGUGAAAUGCGUAGAGAUGUGGAGGAAUACCGAUGGCGAAGGCAGCCCCCUGGGCCAAUACUGACGCUCAUGCACGAAAGCGUGGGGGAGCAAAACAGGAUUAGAUACCCUGGUAGUCCACGCCCUAAACGAUGUCAACUAGUUGUUGGGGAUUCAUUUCCUUAGUAACGUAGCUAACGCGUGAAGUUGACCGCCUGGGGAGUACGGUCGCAAGAUUAAAACUUAAAUGAAUUGACGGGGUCAUAGCUG